GGCUUUUUCUUGCAGUGGUGUUUACAACCAACUGAUCGCAGCCAGUUACAGAUUUCUUUGUUCCUUCUCCACUACUCUGCUUCACUUGACCAGCCUUAA
rnacentral:sRNA from 1 species